UACAGAGGUCUCAAGCGUUGUUCGGAUUCAUUGGGCGUAAAGAGUGUGUAGGCGGUGCUCUAAGUUCGGUGUGAAAUCUCCCGGCUUAACUGGGAGGGUGCGCCGGAAACUGGAGUGCUCGAGCGUGGGAGAGGAAAGCGGAAUUCCUGGUGUAGCGGUGAAAUGCGUAGAUAUCAGGAGGAACACCUGCGGUGUAGACGGCUUUCUGGACCAUUGCUGACGCUGAGACACGAAAGCGUGGGUAGCAAACAGG
rnacentral:rRNA from 1 species